rnacentral:lncRNA from 1 species
AGGAGAUGGAAGGGCCAAUCAAAGCUUCCUCGAAGAAGCGGUACCGACGAUGGUCCUGACAGGAUUCCCGUGAAGCGACGAGCCCUGGAUGGGCAUUUCUAUUGGGCCCUGGAUUGCUUGGACGGCACGCCACCCAAACCCUAAGGGUCAGUGUGAACGCGGAAGGCACUGGGAAUCUUAUAUUUGGGCAGCACUUCUCAUACGAUAUAAAAAAGUACUAUUAUUAUUGUUGUUGUUGUUGUUGUUAUUAUUAUUAUUUAAAUAAGUGUCAUUAUCAACCAAGCAUAAUUUUUUUUUUUGCCGAAUCAUUAGAUGAUUGAGAUUUGACAUUAUACCUAUGUGUAGUUGAGUUAUAUAUUUAUUUUUAAAAGUUGCCAUUUAGAA